UACGGAGGGGGCGAGCGUUGUCCGAAGUUACUGGGCGUAAAGCGCGCGUAGGCGGGUUGGCAAGUCCGCUGUGAAAGCCUGGGGCUUAACCCCAGCGGGUCGGUGGAUACUGCCAGUCUUGAAGGCGUUAGGGGGAGAUGGAAUUACCGGUGUAGCGGUGAAAUGCGUAGAUAUCGGUAGGAACACCAGUGGCGAAGGCGGUCUCCUGGGACGUUCUUGACGCUGAGGCGCGAAAGCUGGGGGAGCGAACGGGAUUAGAAACCCCAGUAGUCC
rnacentral:rRNA from 1 species